CCCUUAGAUGUUCUGGGCCGCACGCGUGCUACACUGAGUAAAUCAAUGGGUAAGGGAACACGAAAGUGCAACCUAAUCUUGAAAUUUGCUCGUGAUGGGGAUCGACGGUUGCAAUUUUCCGUCGUGAACGAGGAAUACCUUGUAGGCGCGUGUCAUCAUCACGCGCCGAAUACGUCCCUGCCCUUUGUACACACCGCCCGUCGCUCCUACCGAUUGAGUGAUCCGGUGAGGCUCUGGGACCUGGAUGGAAAGAGCGUUUCGCUUGUUCUGUUUGGGAAACUUGGUCGAACCUUAUCAUUUAGAGGAAGGAGAAGUCGUAACA
rnacentral:rRNA from 1 species